UUCAUUAAAACAUCCCACAAGAUUACUGAACGAUGCAGCAUGUACAGGAAAUGUUGAGUUCUUAAUUGUCCUCAUUCGCAAGUAUCCAGAUAUAAUAUGGGAAGUGAUGAUGAUGGUAAACGCAUUUUUCACGUCGAAAUCGACUUGAGAAUGUGUUCAAUCUAAUAAAUGAGAUUGGUAGGGUCAAUGAGUUUACUGCAAAAUAUCGAACGUUCAAAGGACGAAAUUAUAACAUACUCCAUUUGGCUAGCUGCUCCAAACCAUCUCAAUAGAGUCUCUAAAGCUGCACUUCAAAUGCAACGUGAAUUGCUAUAGUUCAAGAUUUUGAAUUUAGGAAGUACAAAAGAUAGUUUUGCCUUUCCAACUUGAAGCCAAAAUCGAAUGUUAUGUCUUCCCAACGACUCGAGGCGAAAUUCAAUUAUCCAGAUGCUCCAAAGUUGACACCACGCCAAGUAUUCACCCAAGAGCAUAAAGAUCUUCGCAAAGAUGGGUUGAGGAGCGGAUGAAAAACACAGCAAACUCAAGCAUGCUCGUCGGAACUUUGAUCUCCACAGUAGUUUUCGCAGCGGCUUUUUCACAGUUCCAGGUGGGAGUAAUAACAAUGAGGGCACUCCUGUUUUUCAGCAGAAGUUUUGGUUCACCGUGUUUGCAAUGUCGGAUGCAGUUGCUUUUGUUUUCAUCCUCAACAUCUAUCCUAAUGUUCGUGUCGAUCCUUACUUCACGUUACGCGGAAGAUGAUUUUCUGCAUUCAUUGCCGUCAAGAUUUCUCUUUGGACUGGCGACGUUAUUCAUAUCCAUCGUGUGGCCUUUAGUGCUACCUUUUAUAUUCUCUACCAUAAGGCUAACAUAUGUAUUCCCACCGUAGUGUCUGCCAUGGCGAUUCUUCCAGUUAUUUGUUUUUGUGGCCUUCAGUUUAAACUGUGGGCUGAUAUUUUUCACGACACUUAUUCGUCUACAUGUCUUUUCAAAUCUCGACCACGUAAAUUGUUUUGACCA